UACGUAGGUGACAAGCGUUAUCCGGAAUACUGGGCGUAAAGCGCACGCAGGCGGCUGCGUAAGUCUGACGUGAAAUCUCCCGGCUUAACCGGGAGCGGUCGUUGGAAACUAUGCGGCUUGAGGCGAUGAGAGGGGUGUGGAAUUCCCGGUGUAGUGGUGGAAUGCGUAGAUAUCGGGGAGGAACAUCAGUGGCGAAAAGCGGCACCCUGGCAUUAGCCUGACGCUCAGGUGCGAAAGCGUGGGGAGCGAACGGG
rnacentral:rRNA from 1 species